CAGUCGCCGCGGGAAUACAGAGGAUGCAAGCGUUAUCCGGAAUGAUUGGGCGUAAAGCGUCUGUAGGUGGCUUUUCAAGUCCGCCGUCAAAUCCCAGGGCUCAACCCUGGACAGGCGGUGGAAACUACCAAGCUGGAGUACGGUAGGGGCAGAGGGAAUUUCCGGUGUAGCGGUGAAAUGCGUAGAUAUAUGGAGGAACACCGGUGGCGAAAGCGGCUCUCUGGCUUGUAACUGACGCUGAGGCUCGAAAGCGUGGGGAGCAAACAGGAUUAGAUACCCGCGUAGUCCCUGUCUCUUAUAA
rnacentral:rRNA from 1 species